rnacentral:rRNA from 1 species
AGAGUUUGAUCCUGGCUCAGGAUGAACGCUGGCGGCGUGCCUAACACAUGCAAGUCGAACGGGAACCUCUGGAUUCGUCUGGAGGGGAGAGUGGCGAACGGGUGAGUAACACGUGGGUGACCUGCCUCGAAGACGGGGAUAACCACUGGAAACGGUGGCUAAUACCCGAUAGUCUCGGUGAUUCGGUUCAUUGAGUAAAGUUCCGGCGCUUCGAGAGGGGCCCGCGGCCCAUCAGCUAGUUGGUAGGGUAACGGCCUACCAAGGCAGAGACGGGUAGGGGGCGUGAGAGCGCGAUCCCCCACACUGGCACUGCGACACGGGCCAGACUCCUACGGGAGGCAGCAGUGAGGAAUAUUGCCCAAUGAGCGCAAGCUUGAGGCAGCAACGCCGCGUGGGUGAUGAAGGCCCUCGGGUCGUAAAGCCCUUUUCUGGGGGAAGAGAAAGGACGGUACCCCAGGAAUAAGUCUCGGCUAACUAUGUGCCAGCAGCCGCGGUAAGACAUAGGAGGCGAGCGUUAUCCGGAUUUACUGGGCGUAAAGAGCGUUGAGGCGGCUCUGUAAGUUGGACGUGAAAGCUCCCGGCUUAACUGGGAGAGGUCGUUCAAUACUGCAGAACUUGAGGGCAGCAGAGGGGGGUGGAAUUCCCGGUGUAGUGGUGAAAUGCGUAGAUAUCGGGAGGAACACCAGUGGCGAAGGCGGCCCCCUGGGCUACACCUGACGCUGAAGGCGAAAGCUAGGGUAGCAAACGGGAUUAGAAACCCCGGUAGUCCUCGCCGUAAACGAUGGAUACUAGGUGUAGGGGGUUAUUAACCCCUCUGUGCCGAAGCAAACGCGAUAAGUAUCCCGCCUGGGGAGUACGGCCGCAAGGCUAAAACUCAAAGGAAUUGACGGGGACCCGCACAAGCAGCGGAGCGUGUGGUUUAAUUCGAUGCUACGCGAAGAACCUUACCAGGGCUUGACAUGCAGGUAGUAGUGAAGCGAAAGCGGAACGAUCCUUCGGGAAGCCUGCACAGGUGCUGCAUGGCUGUCGUCAGCUCGUGCCGUGAGGUGUUAGGUUAAGUCCUGUAACGAGCGCAACCCCUACCGUUAGUUACAAGUGUCUAGCGGGACUGCCCGGUAAAACUGGGAGGAAGGUGGGGAUGACGCCAAGUCAGCAUGGCCUUUAUGACCUGGGCUACACACACGCUACAAUGGCCGGGACAACGGGUUGCCAAGCCGCGAGGCGGAGCCAAUCAUCAAAGUCGGUCUCAGUUCGAAUUGUAGGCUGCAACUCGCCUGCAUGAAGUUGGAGUUGCUAGUAACCGCAGGUCAGCCACACUGCGGUGAAUACGUUCCCGGGUCUUGUACACACCGCCCGUCACGUCAUGGAAGCUGGUAACACCUGAAGCCAGUGAGCUAACCGAAAGGGGGCAGCUGUCGAAGGUGGGACUGGUGACUGGGACGAAGUCGUAACAAGGUAACCA